UCCCUCGCUCUUUUCCCUCUUCCCAAACCAAACGAGUAUGUGGAAGCGCAAUCUCCGUUCGCCUCUCUCUACACUCCUCUACCGCCAACCCCUUCCCUCUCUCUCUCCUCUUCUAUGCACGCACUCCCCUUCGGCCGCUCACCCUCUCACUGCCUUCCCUCCUUUCCAUUCCCUACCCGCCGAUCAAGAAAAUAGGGCUUCUGAUUUUCCGUUCCAUAGAUUUCACUAUCCCCGGAAUCUCAACUUAUCGUGGAGUAAAAAUUUCAGCUCCGGGAUAGUUGUCAACCAGUGCUGGAGCUGUGCAUCGUUGGCGGCUCAGACGGUGCCGUUUUUGGUCUGUGAGAUUUGUCGUUGCGUUCAGCCUGUCGAUCCGUUCGUUGAUUACUUCCAGAUAUUUGGAUUGGAGAAACAAUAUGUAAUUGAGGAGGAAAAUCUUGAGGGCAGGUACAAAAACUGGCAGAAAAAGCUGCAUCCUGACCUGGUUCAUUCUAAAUCUGAGAAAGAAAAAGAGUGUGCUGCUGAACAGUCCGCUAGGGUAAUCGAUGCCUAUCGCACUCUUGGUGAUCCAUUGUCAAGGGCCAUAUAUAUUCUAAAGCUUGAAGGUGUAGAUGUGGAUGAAGAAGAAACUAUUUCGGAGCCAGAAUUGCUAGCUGAGAUUUUGGAAAUCAGGGAAGCUGUUGAAGAAGCUGGAGACACUCAGGCAUUAAGUCAGAUCCAGAUUCAGAUAAAAGAGAAAUUUCAACAUUCAUCUGAAUCCUUUGCCACUGCAUUUCAAAGCCGAAAAUUUGAAGAAGCUCGCGCUUCCAUCAGGAGAAUGACUUACUACAAGCGUGUAAAUGAAGAAAUAGUCAAGAAACUUUAAUACAUGAGCAGCUCUGGCACAAGGUAUACAACCGAUUUCUGCAACUUUAGCCCGCUGUUGUUGGAUGCUUAUUAUUUCUUUGUAGGAGAAUAAUAAGAAGAUGACAAUGAUGGUAACCCUCUGUUAUGCAUAUGUUUUAAUCAAUCUAAAUUAUUAUCGUAUCUGGAUUUAACUGGUAUAUGUAAUCUCAGGCUUUGUACUUCUUGCUAUUUUCCUAUUUCUAUUUCUAUUGUUUUUUCUUGGUUGCACCUUCUUGAGUUUUCUUGAGUCAUUAUUAGCUUAGUCGAUACAGUCCCCUGCGUUAGACUUAAAAGUUGAAUAUGCUAUGAUGGAAUAUUCAAAAACAGAUGUGUAUAAAAUCACCUAUCUAUAGAAGCCAUUCCAAUUACCGAAACCUAUGUUACAAGGUCACGGAUACGCGAAUCGGGUGCGGGUUAUCUAAGGGUCCGACACCUCAAUUGAGCGUUUAUUGAAAAUGUAUCUUGGAUCAUAUCGUGAUUUUUUUCCUUUGUGGUGAGCCUUGAGUUGAAGCCGCACUUCAACAGUAUCCAUUUAUAGCUUCUGGGUUCAAUCAGUUUGACAGACCAGCAGUCACCCCAGUUGUCAGUGAAUACCAAGCAUCUACCAGGUAGAAGGCUUGACAACCAGCUAAAGAAGCAACUUGGCUGCCAGUCGACCAGAAAUGAUUUUGAUGGUUGACAACAGGAACAGAUUGGAGGAUUCCUAACAAUACCCAUGGAUGCUUAUCUGCCGCAUUUGGUGAUAACCUUUUUUAUUCACAGCAUUCAUCACUGUAUUCAACUUAAUAUAUUCCUUGAAGGCAAGGAAAAGAGAUUGUGGUAUUAAUAAUCAUGUUGGUUAGAAAUAAUAUGCCUCCAUAUAAUAAUUUAGAAUCUGUUGAACCUGAACGGAUCGGAUCCAAGUAGCUUUUGUUGGAGAGGUAGCUUUGAAACUUUUUUUUUGUUGGUGAGGCUGAUUCCAUGAAAAGAAAAUUUCAUUUUGUGUGCA